UGGAAGAGGCGGCUGUCGGCUUGGUG
rnacentral:misc_RNA from 1 species